GACGAACGCUGGCGGCGUGCCUAAUACAUGCAAGUAGAACGCACAGUUUAUACGGUAGCUUGCUGCAUCAUUAACUGUGAGUUGCGAUCGGGUGCAUAAAGCGUCGGUAACUUGCCUGGUAUCGGGGGAUCAGUAAUGGUGACGUUAGCUAAUCCCGCAUAAUAUUAAUUAUUGCAUGCUAUUUAAUAGAAAGGUGCAAUUGUACCACUACCAGCUGGUACUGCGUUGUAUUAGCUAGUAGGUGAGGUAACGGCUCACCUAUGCGACGGUACAUAGCCGACCUGGGAGGGUGGUCGGCCACACUGGGAAUGGGGCACGGCCCAGACGCCUACGGGAGGCAGCAGUAGCGAAUCUGCGGCAAUGGACGAAAGUCUGACCGAGCAACGACCCGGGGGUUAAGAAGGUUUUCCGAUCGGAAAGAUCUGUUGUAAGGGAAGAACGGGUGUGAGAGUGGAAAGUUCACAAAGUGACGGUACCUUACCAGAAAGGGACGGCUAACUACGUG
rnacentral:rRNA from 1 species